rnacentral:tRNA from 1 species
AAGGCUUUAGCUUAAUGAAAGUGUCUGUUUUGCAUACAGGAGAUGUGGGUUAGUGUCCUGCAAGUCUUA